GGAGAUGUACAAGCCGAGCCCCGGGCGCCUCCUCCCGGCCCGCGCCCCUCGCCCCGCGCCACAGACCGCAGCCCCGCCGCCGGGAGCCUCGGCGCCCUCUGCUGGCCACUCUGCGCUCGCUCCUGCGCGCGCGCCCUCCAGCUCCCGGAGAGGGGUGGGCGCGGCACCGGCCGCUGUCCUUGGCCAGCGCUGUCCCCAAGCUUCGGGAGACACCAGGGAAAAGAAAGAGUAAGACUGAGUUGGUGUCCACGGGGCGGGGGGCUUAGAGGAGUGGGAUCUGCGGUUUUCCGCUUAGGACAGAAGAGGAGCAGCUUCUCAUUACAUGCACAGGGUUCCUAAUUUACAGGAGCCCAAAGCCGUCUCUGAAAGGGCUUGCAGAAUAGGCAGGCGUUUCUCUAAAAGCAGGCUUAUUUCUGCAUUUCGGAAGCACCAAAUGUGCCUACGCACUGUUGGAAGGGUUCCAGCAAGCCUUGACCACACUUAUAGUAAAUAGAUAAAUUAAAAACUAUUAUCAUUAUUAGAGAGCCAGUUCUACCUGAAAUGUUGCGGUUCCCCUAAGCAGUGCAGCUUAUAAGGUUUGAAAAAGCAAGUGAGACUGGAGCCUCUGGGUUCAAAACACAAUGGAAUAAAAAUUCACAAUGAUAAAGAUGGAAUGAUGGUGCCCAUCUUUGCACAAGUUAAGUUGGUUUUUGUUUGUCGUUGUCGUUUAGGGGGUGUCUUUUUUUUUAGAUUAUUGAGCAAUAUCUUAUACCAGUUCUUUUUCUUAAUAAACUGGAUUACAUGGUAAAGGGAAAUCAUGAAAUAGUACUUUUUUCACACUACUGUCUUUUCCAAUUAUUCUAUCCUAUUUCCCUUUUCCUCUGGAAGUAGAUUUUCUAGCUUUUCCUGUCUCUCAGGUGUUAAUAAACAUUCUGAUUUACUGGUAUUGCAAAGUCUGGCCCAAUCCACAUCAACUUUAAUCUUGCUCCAUUUAGCCUUCUCCAGUUUCCUCCCACCAUUCACCAGCCUGACCCAAGCCCAGAAGCCCAUGUGGAGAAGCCACCCCCCCUUGCUAACUUUUGCUUCCCAUUUCUGUGUCCCCUCCACUGGUGAAGCCUGUACCCAGGUGGCGGUGGAGCUCAGUCCUGCCCCUGCAGCCUCCUCUUCAGCUUCCUCUCUGUUGGUCCAGCUCAAAAACACCCACUGCAGGGCACAGUGCCCUGGUAGGCAGACCAGAAGCCUUCCUUUACAUCUGCUCUGGCCCACAUUUUGGCCAUCAAACUCUAUAAGUGCACGCUGAAGACACUGCAGCUCACUGUCUUUUAUCUCUGGUCACAUACAACUCUGGCCUCUGUCCUUGAACUUUCUCAAGCAGCUCUGGGCUCAAGUGUCCCCACACUCUGAGUGACACAUACCAGGUUCUCCAAGGAGCUCUCCUAAAGCAUGUCUUCCUUCACAUAAAACAGGUGAACUCUCCCUCCUCUCCCUGACAUCCUGUCAAUCUCACUCCCAUCCUUCUCUUUGAUCUAUUCAGUUUGAGUUGAGGUGACAGAAACCUCAUUAGCAAAUUCUACAGUGAUGGCCCAGUGCCUCAACUUCUAGGUGGAAAUGCUUAUGAAGGUGACUCCCACAGGUCUCAGAUCACAAGCUCAUAACUAACUGCCUCUAAUUGUCACACCUUGGGAUCCAACAUGGUAUUCAUACAGGAUCUCAUGUACCCCAGCUGUUCCCAGCCCAUACUGAGCAUGGUGGGGACAUGAGAGUUGCACCAUUUCUGCCUGAUGCAAGUUCCCAGAACUCCCAUCAUCCCUCAGGGCUCCCCUGUGACUGAGUCACCCUGGAGCUCUUCCUCCCUCAUCAUUCCCCCACCCUCUUUUCAUUCACAUGUCAGACUUAUGCACCCUCUCCCUCCCGCACAAUUUUUUUUCUAAUAUAGGUUUAUCCAAUACAGUUCUUCUAUGUCUGGAAAAUUGAUUCUAGGACCCACUGUACAUACCAAAAUAUGAGGAUGUUCAAGUCCCUUAGAUAAAAUUGUAUAGCCUUUGCACAGAACUCUUACACAUCCUCCAAUAGACUUUCCAACGUCUCUAGAUGCCUUAUAAUACCUAACACAGUGUGAAUGCUAUGGAAAUAGUUGUUGUGCUGUAUUAUUUAUAAAAUAAUUGCAAGAAAAAAAUUGUAGAUAUUCAGUACAAAUGCAACCACUGUAGGCCUAAUGACAUUUGUGAUCAGUGAUAAGACUGCAGAUAUGAAUAGCCAACUAUAUAUCUUUUGCACAUCUAAGUCCUGGGCAUCUGCUUCUCAGAGGUCCCAAACCAGCACUAUCAAUUAUGGUGCCCAGAACUAUUUUCAAUAUAAGUGCCACUUUAACAUUUACUGUAUUUAACAUUCAGCUAUAUUUAGAAACUACAGGAAGAAGCAUAGAAUGUUCUUCCAUGGAGAAAAACUGGAAUCAGCAGGUAUCUUAGUGGAGGUCCUCUCCCAAACCCCCAAGUACAGCCUGAUAAAAUACCUCAAAUGCAGAUACUUUACUUUGGAAGGUUAUCUGAGGAAACAGGAGUAACAGAACUGAGAUUUCUGAGACAGGAAAGCAUGAGGAGGUAAUAUAAAGGCCAUUCCCAUUGGCAACAGGUUCACAGGUGAACAAUACCACCAUGAUCUCUGAGAAGCUAGGAAAGUCCUCCCCGUAUGGUUAUUUCAAAGUCAUGAGCCUGAGCAUUUACCCUCUAGCUCCUAUUCUUUGGUGAUUGGAAUUGCCUUGGGGCUUUAAGUCCCAAAGCUUUAGAAAAACAGAGAGACCUUUUGACAGCAUCCUUGAGGUAGGAUGCAGUAAACUCAAGCCCAGCUCCGGAGGUAUACCCAUCAGAACCUGGCAGAGAGUAGACAAAGAGAAUGUGGUACAGAGCGUCGAAGGUAUGCAUGAGGGGCUGAGGGUUAGGAGGUCUAUUCCCUAAAGACCUAAAAAGAGCAUGCUACAGGGACACUGCUACAUCGAUGUUCAUAGCAGCUCAAUUCACAAUAGCAAGACUGUGGAACCAACCCAGAUACCCUUCAAUAGAUGAAUGGAUUAAAAAAAUGUGGCAUUUAUACACAAUGGAGUAUUAUUACUCUGCAUUAAAAAAUGACAAAAUCAUAGAAUUUGCAGGGAAAUUGAUGGCACUAGAGCAGAUUAUGCUAAGUGAAGCUAGCCAAUCCCUAAAAAACAAAUGCCAAAUGUCUUCUUUGAUAUAAGGAGAGUAACUAUGAUCAGAGUAGGGACGAAGAACAGGAGAAGAAGAUUAACAUUUAACAGGGA
rnacentral:lncRNA from 1 species